rnacentral:rRNA from 1 species
UAGGGAAUCUUCCGCAAUGGACGAAAGUCUGACGGAGCAACGCCGCGUGAGUGAUGAAGGCUUUCGGGUCGUAAAACUCUGUUGUUAGGGAAGAACAAGUACGAGAGUAACUGCUCGUACCUUGACGGUACCUAACCAGAAAGCCACGGCUAACUACGUGCCAGCAGCCGCGGUAAUACGUAGGUGGCAAGCGUUAUCCGGAAUUAUUGGGCGUAAAGCGCGCGCAGGCGGUUUCUUAAGUCUGAUGUGAAAGCCCACGGCUCAACCGUGGAGGGUCAUUGGAAACUGGGGAACUUGAGUGCAGAAGAGAAAAGCGGAAUUCCACGUGUAGCGGUGAAAUGCGUAGAGAUGUGGAGGAACACCAGUGGCGAAGGCGGCUUUUUGGUCUGUAACUGACGCUGAGGCGCGAAAGCGUGGGGAGCAAACAGGAUUAGAUACCCUGGUAGUCCACGCCGUAAACGAUGAGUGCUAAGUGUUAGAGGGUUUCCGCCCUUUAGUGCUGCAGCUAACGCAUUAAGCACUCCGCCUGGGGAGUACGGUCGCAAGACUG